GAUGAAGAACGCAGCGAAAUGCGAUACUUGGUGUGAAUUGCAGAAUCCCGUGAACCAUCGAGUCUUUGAACGCAAGUUGCGCCCGAAGCCAUUAGGCCGAGGGCACGCCUGCCUGGGCGUCACACGUCGUUGCCCCCCCAUCUACUCCUUCGGGAUUGCGGGGGGCGGAUGAUGGCCUCCCGUGCGCCUCGCCGCGCGGUUGCCAUAAAUGCCAAGUCCUCGGCGACGCACGCCACGACAAUCGGUGGUUGCGAAACCUCGGUUGCCCGUCGUGUGCGGUCGUCGCGCAUCGAGGGCUCGAAAAAAUUGCCGGGUUCCGGCUCGGCUUUCAACGCGACCCCAGGUCAGGCGGGGUUACCCGCUGAAUUUAAGCAUAUCAAUAAGCGGAGGA
rnacentral:misc_RNA from 1 species